AUGCUUCUAGUUCUACACAUUUUAAUAUACCGAAAGCAAUUUGGUCUAAUGUGACCAUCAAAACCACAAAAAU
rnacentral:tRNA from 1 species